rnacentral:rRNA from 1 species
UGCAGUCGAGCGGAAGGCCACUUCGGUGGUACUCGAGCGGCGAACGGGUGAGUAACACGUGAGUAAUCUGCCCUUGGCUUUGGGAUAGCCACCGGAAACGGUGAUUAAUACCGGAUACGACAACUACUCGCAUGGGUUGGUUGUGGAAAGUUUUUCGGCCAGGGAUGUGCUCGCGGCCUAUCAGCUUGAUGGUGAGGUAAUGGCUCACCAUGGCUUCGACGGGUAGCCGGCCUGAGAGGGUGACCGGUCACACUGGGACUGAGACACGGCCCAGACUCCUACGGGAGGCAGCAGUGGGGAAUAUUGGACAAUGGGCGGAAGCCUGAUCCAGCAACGCCGCGUGGGUGAAGAAGGUCUUCGGAUUGUAAAGCCCUUUCGGCGGGGACGAUGAUGACGGUACCCGCAGAAGAAGCCCCGGCUAACUUCGUGCCAGCAGCCGCGGUAAUACGUAGGGCGCAAGCGUUGUCCGGAAUUAUUGGGCGUAAAGAGCUCGUAGGCGGUUUGUCGCGUCUGCUGUGAAAACGCGAGGCUCAACCUCGCGCCUGCAGUGGGUACGGGCAGACUAGAGUGUGGUAGGGGAGACUGGAAUUCCUGGUGUAGCGGUGGAAUGCGCAGAUAUCAGGAGGAACACCGAUGGCGAAGGCAGGUCUCUGGGCCACUACUGACGCUGAGGAGCGAAAGCAUGGGUAGCGAACAGGAUUAGAUACCCUGGUAGUCCAUGCCGUAAACGGUGGGAACUAGGUGUGGGUCCCAUUCCACGAGGUCCGUGCCGCAGCUAACGCAUUAAGUUCCCCGCCUGGGGAGUACGGCCGCAAGGCUAAAACUCAAAGGAAUUGACGGGGGCCCGCACAAGCGGCGGAGCAUGCGGAUUAAUUCGAUGCAACGCGAAGAACCUUACCAAGGCUUGACAUACACCGGAACAGUGCAGAGAUGUGCUGGCCUUCGGGCUGGUGUACAGGUGGUGCAUGGUUGUCGUCAGCUCGUGUCGUGAGAUGUUGGGUUAAGUCCCGCAACGAGCGCAACCCUCGUUCUAUGUUGCCAGCACGUGAUGGUGGGGACUCAUGGGAGACUGCCGGGGUCAACUCGGAGGAAGGUGGGGAUGACGUCAAAUCAUCAUGCCCCUUAUGUCUUGGGCUUCACGCAUGCUACAAUGGCCGGUACAAAGGGCUGCGAAACCGUGAGGUGGAGCGAAUCCCAAAAAACCGGUCUCAGUUCGGAUUGGGGUCUGCAACUCGACCCCAUGAAGUCGGAGUCGCUAGUAAUCGCAGAUCAGC